rnacentral:lncRNA from 7 species
AAAUGGCGGGCGGGCGCCUCACGCCCCAGUGAUGGUGUCUCAGCAGGAAGAAAGCGCUGAUAUUCCAUCCCAGAGUCAGGUGAUGAAGCCUGACAUGGGCCUGGGCCACCUUCAUCCUGUCAUGGUGCUGCUUUAGCCCUCCCGUGUCCAAAACUCAACCCGACACGGCUGCCAUCAGAUCUCCGAUGACACUGAAUGCUUGUGUUUUGGCCUUGAGGUUUCACUUAGCAUCUACAUGGCUGCUAGUGUGCUCUAGUGAGUACUUAGCAGAUCAUCUGGAGAAGUCAUUUUAAAACAUUCAUUAUACCUGCACUUGGGGAAUGGAGCCAAACCGCAUGCAUCACAACACAGUACAGAAACAAUGGAUAAAAGCAAAUCCUCUUCCAUUCCAUGUCUGAUGCAUUACCAACCAAACCAACGUCGUGGUUUCAUCGCUGUUAUUGUCUUCUUUUCCCUCACUUCUCCAUUUUCACCAGUAUUUGUAGUCAGCUGAUGAGGUUGCGUCUUACAGCAGAGCCAAGUUCUGGAAAGUCUCUCUCAGAUCCUAACUCUGAUAGAGGAAAGCAUUUCAGAAAAAAAAAUGAUCAGUUUAAGAAUGUGCUCACUUCCAUUGAUUACACUAGAAAUUCUGUGAUGUGUAAAAGUUCUGCAGUUUCUGCCUGCUUUCCUAAGAAAACAAAGCUUACACAACUGUUCUGCCUGGCUGUCCAUCUGCUUGUCUGUCAGCUUCUCUUUAAUAACUUUGAACCUGUUGGCUCAUUUCAGCCUGGGAUAGAGAGAGAUCAUGAAGGAUGCAGAAAAUGCUCCUGAAUACAGGCUGGAAUUUGGAUCAGCACAUCCUGCACUAAACAUCUUAGAAAUGUUCUGUAUCUUCUUGUCGUUUGAGGAUAUUUCAGCAAUUAUUUCUGAGCUAUAUGCCAUUUCUACAAUUUUUCUCAAAAACAUAGAGGUCCCAAUCAUAUUUGGUUUGUACAAGCAAAGGAAAAGGGUUACAGUGCAACAUUCUGUCCUGAUACCACGUGAGGAUGGAGACAAGAGUUGGAGACAGAGAGAGAAGGUGUCCAGAGUGUCCAGAGCGGAUUCGAGUGAUUCUGACAGGGUGUGACACACGUUGUUUUCUCUGGUGGAACCAAGCCAAGCAAAGAGGCAUUCACAGACAGAUCCUGUGGGUACCUUCAGCCAUCGAGGAGUUUGGCAAUCCCAAGAGCCUUGAGCACAUCUCUUCUUGGAAAGGGUGGAAACCAGAGAUGGUACAAGACGAUAACUUAAUGCAGUGAUUGCUGGUUGUCCAUGGAGAAGCACAAACUUGAGCCAGGAUUUGGAAUAAAGCCAAGAAAACUGCUGAGAAGACAGAUCCUUGGUAUCACAUGCUGUAGGUCGUCAUGGGACCCAUCACAAAGCCCAGCUGUGCAGUGAGCUCUGCCUCUGCAGGCACCAGUGUCUCCCCAUGUAGGCAACGUGGUAUUAGGAACCAGGAAUCGGUACCCACAGCUCUUCAUGUGGAGAAAGGUUCUUACAGUUAAAAACUGUAGAUGUAAUGGAGACUCAAGAAAAAACUUUUAAAAAGAUGGGGAAGAGGAUGAAGGAAAUGUCCUAAAAGAAGAACCUGGGUUCCUGCUAUCACAAAGACUUAACAGAAGCAAAACAAAACCAAAAGAGAGAUAACAUAGUGAGGGUUGAAUAAAGUCCUACUCCAAAAGGGUUUUCUGUUGGGAUGUGAGGCUGCAGCUCUUGACGCUGCUCUGAUUGCUGAUGGCAUCAGUGCUUAACUUGGGAUGGUGGGCAUGCAGGGAGCAGACAACAGGAAGGGAAAGUUUGCCUUACUGUAGCUUGCAGAAGUGCCCCAGACCCCCCCAUUCUUGCACUGAAGUCCCAAUAAAGACCACUGCUUCCUGAAGAUAUGUUUCCAGAAGAAAAGGACUAACAGGGAGAAGGGCAAGCAGCUCUCAGUGCAGACUGGGGAGCAAGGGGUGCAUUGCAGAGUGUGGAUGAGCAACCCCAAAUGUGGUGACUUCCAAGGUUGGACUGCUCCCUGGAGAAAGGUCAACACUUGCAAGACUUGCAAGUCUUGCAAGCUGUGGUAGCAGGAGACCUAGUUAAAUGAUGAGAAAAGCUUGGUGAGACUGAUCAGAGGAAGGAACUUCAUGCCCUUUAUUCAGGGUUCAUCAUAGCAGUGAGUCCAUGCAAGUCAAUUAUGUUUUUGUGUGCUGGGAGCCUGCUCACUGCAAGAUGUAUUAAGUUACAAUUAACUUAAUGAAAUGUUGUAACAUACGACCCAGGACUGAGAAGGCACUUGGAGGCAGGAGCAGGAAGAUUCAGGCUGCAGCGGGCAUGGUGGCACUGGAUCUUGACGCUCACCUAAACUCAUUGAUAAAUUAGCUUGUUAUUUCU